AUAUUUCGGAACUGAGCCUAGUUCCUUCGAUAUCAAUGCAAUCGGAAAAAAUCAUAUUACUAUAGAUUACAUUGAUAUCGAAGGAACUAGACUCAGUUCCGAAAUAU